GGGGUGACUAGUGACAGAGUGUGGAAGAGGGUGACUAGGGACAGAGGGGGUGAGUAAUGACAGAGUGAGGGAGGGGGUGACUAGUGACAGUGAGGGAGCGGGUGACAGUGACCGAGUUAGGGAGGGAGUGACUAGUGACAGUCACUCCCUCCCUCUGUCACUAGUCACUCCCUCCCUCUGUCACUAGUCACUCCCUCCCUCUGUCACCAGUCAUCCCCUCACUCUGUCACCAGUCACCCCUUCCCUCCCUCACUCUGCCACUAGUCACCCAUUCCCUAACUCUGUCACUAGUCACCCCC